rnacentral:lncRNA from 1 species
AGAGAGAGAGGGAGAGAGAGAGGAGAGACUCCCCGGCUCCCUCCCUCCCUCGCACACAGCGACUGGAGACGGACGGAGAGCAACGCGCUGGGAGAGGAGAGACCACCGACAACAGCCCCGCGCUCUCACACAUACACUCACACUCGGCUCUUUCCUCUCCCCCCACCUCCUCCUCCUUCCACCCCCACCACUAACACCAUCUCCUCCUCCUUCUCUCUGCAACAAGAAAAAAAAAGCCAUUUACAGGUAUUUUUUUUUGAUCCGCAUAUUUAUUUACCCCCCUCCCCAACAGUUUGUUUACAAGUAUUAAAGUUGUAAUUGGGAGCUGCCAAGACACAUCUGGAUUUGUGUUUCUUUGUGUUAGGGGUGAUG